AUUGAACGCUGGCGGCAGGCCUAACACAUGCAAGUCGAACGAGUGGCGGACGGGUGAGUAAUGUCUGGGAAACUGCCUGAUGGGGGGGGAUCACUACUGGAAACGGUAGAUAAUCCCGCAUACCAUCGGAUGUGCCCAGAUGGGAGUGGCUAGUAGGUGGGGUAAAGGCUCACCUGGGCGACGAUCCCUAGCUGGUCUCAGAGGAUGACCAGCAACACUGGAACUGAGACACGGUCCAGACUCCUACGGGAGGCAGCAGUGGGGAAUAUUGCACAAUGGGCGCAAGCCUGAGGCAGCCAUGCCGCGUGUAUGAAUAAGGCCUUCGGGUUGUAAAUUACUUUCAGCGGGGAGGCGUUACCCGCAGAAGAAGCACCGGCUAACUCCGUGCCAGCAGCCGCGGUAAUAC
rnacentral:rRNA from 1 species